UUAAGUGACUAAGCGUACACGGUGGAUGCCUUGGCAGUCAGAGGCGAUGAAAGACGUAGUAACUUGCGAUAAGCCCAGAUUAGGUAGUAACAACCAUUUGAGUCUGGGAUUUCUGAAUGGGGAAACCCACGUGCAUAAGCACGUAUCCUUACCUGAAUACAUAGGGUAAGGAGGCGAACCGGGGGAACUGAAACAUCUAAGUACCCCGAGGAAAAGAAAUCAACCGAGAUUCCGAAAGUAGCGGCGAGCGAAAUUGGACUAGCCCUUAAGCUUUACACGCGUUAGACGAACGGUCUGGAAAGUCCGACGAUACAGGGUGAUAGUCCCGUAGUUGACGACGUGUGUUCAGUGAAAUCGAGUAGGGCGGGACACGUGAUAUCCUGUCUGAAUAUGGGGGGACCAUCCUCCAAGGCUAAAUACUACUGACUGACCGAUAGUGAACCAGUACCGUGAGGGAAAGGCGAAAAGAACCCCUGUGAGGGGAGUGAAAUAGAACCUGAAACCGUGUACGUACAAGCAGUAGGAGCAGGCUUUGUCCUGUGACUGCGUACCUUUUGUAUAAUGGGUCAGCGACUUAUAUUCAGUGGCAAGGUUAACCAUCUAGGGGAGCCGUAGGGAAACCGAGUCUUAACUGGGCGUUCAGUCUCUGGAUAUAGACCCGAAACCAGGUGAUCUAGCCAUGGGCAGGUUGAAGGUUGAGUAACAUCAACUGGAGGACCGAACCGACUAAUGUUGAAAAAUUAGCGGAUGACUUGUGGCUAGGGGUGAAAGGCCAAUCAAACCUGGAGAUAGCUGGUUCUCCCCGAAAGCUAUUUAGGUAGCGCCUCGGACGAAUACUACUGGGGGUAGAGCACUGUUAAGGCUAGGGGGUCAUCCCGACUUACCAACCCUUUGCAAACUCCGAAUACCAGUAAGUACUAUCCGGGAGACACACGGCGGGUGCUAACGUCCGUCGUGGAGAGGGAAACAACCCAGACCGCCAGCUAAGGUCCCAAAUUACUACUAAGUGGGAAACGAUGUGGGAAGGCUCAGACAGCCAGGAUGUUGGCUUAGAAGCAGCCAUCAUUUAAAGAAAGCGUAAUAGCUCACUGGUCGAGUCGGCCUGCGCGGAAGAUGUAACGGGGCUAAGUAGUAAACCGAAGCUGCGGCAAUGUGCUUUUGCACAUUGGGUAGGGGAGCGUUCUGUAAGCGGUUGAAGGUGUGUGGUAACGCAUGCUGGACGUAUCAGAAGUGCGAAUGCUGACAUGAGUAACGAUAAAGGGGGUGAAAAACCUCCUCGCCGGAAGACCAAGGGUUCCUGUCCAACGUUAAUCGGGGCAGGGUAAGUCGACCCCUAAGGCGAGGCCGAAAGGCGUAGUCGAUGGGAAACGGGUUAAUAUUCCCGUACUUCUUACAAUUGCGAUGGGGGGACGGAGAAGGCUAGGUGGGCCUGGCGACGGUUGUCCAGGUUCAAGUGCGUAGGCUUAAGAGUUAGGUAAAUCCGGCUCUUUUUAAGGCUGAGACACGACGUCGAGCACCUACGGGUGUGAAGUCAUUGAUGCCAUGCUUCCAGGAAAAGCCUCUAAGCUUCAGAUUGUAAGGAAUCGUACCCCAAACCGACACAGGUGGUCGGGUAGAGAAUACCAAGGCGCUUGAGAGAACUCGGGUGAAGGAACUAGGCAAAAUGGUACCGUAACUUCGGGAGAAGGUACGCUCUUGAUGGUGAAGUCCCUUGCGGAUGGAGCUGACGAGAGUCGCAGAUACCAGGUGGCUGCAACUGUUUAUUAAAAACACAGCACUGUGCAAAAUCGUAAGAUGACGUAUACGGUGUGACGCCUGCCCGGUGCCGGAAGGUUAAUUGAUGGGGUUAGACUUCGGUCGAAGCUCUUGAUCGAAGCCCCGGUAAACGGCGGCCGUAACUAUAACGGUCCUAAGGUAGCGAAAUUCCUUGUCGGGUAAGUUCCGACCUGCACGAAUGGCGUAAUGAUGGCCACGCUGUCUCCACCCGAGACUCAGUGAAAUUGAAAUCGCUGUGAAGAUGCAGUGUACCCGCGGCUAGACGGAAAGACCCCGUGAACCUUUACUACAGCUUGGCACUGAACAUUGACCCUACAUGUGUAGGAUAGGUGGGAGGCUUUGAAGCACGUACGCCAGUAUGUGUGGAGCCGUCCUUGAAAUACCACCCUUGUAGUGUUGAUGUUCUAACGUCGACCCCUUAUCGGGGUUGCGGACAGUGCCUGGUGGGUAGUUUGACUGGGGCGGUCUCCUCCCAAAGAGUAACGGAGGAGCACGAAGGUGGGCUAAUCACGGUUGGACAUCGUGAGGUUAGUGCAAUGGCAUAAGCCCGCUUGACUGCGAGAAUGACAAUUCGAGCAGGUGCGAAAGCAGGUCAUAGUGAUCCGGUGGUUCUGAAUGGAAGGGCCAUCGCUCAACGGAUAAAAGGUACUCCGGGGAUAACAGGCUGAUACCGCCCAAGAGUUCAUAUCGACGGCGGUGUUUGGCACCUCGAUGUCGGCUCAUCACAUCCUGGGGCUGAAGUCGGUCCCAAGGGUAUGGCUGUUCGCCAUUUAAAGUGGUACGCGAGCUGGGUUUAGAACGUCGUGAGACAGUUCGGUCCCUAUCUGCCGUGGGCGUUGGAAGAUUGAAGGGGGCUGCUCCUAGUACGAGAGGACCGGAGUGGACGAACCUCUGGUGUUCGGGUUGUGUCGCCAGACGCAUUGCCCGGUAGCUAAGUUCGGAAUCGAUAACCGCUGAAAGCAUCUAAGCGGGAAGCGAGCCCUGAGAUGAGUCUUCCCUGAUACUUUAAGUAUCCUAAAGGGUUGUCGGAGACUACGACGUUGAUAGGUCAGGUGUGUAAGUGCUGUGAGGCAUUGAGCUAACUGAUACUAAUUGCCCGUGAGGCUUAACCA
rnacentral:rRNA from 1 species